UUUUUUAUUUCAUACAACAAUACAAUCCUUCCAUCCGGUCCUGUCUAAAAACGAUUGCAUCACCAACAUUUGCCCGGAAUCAGCCCGUACAGACAUGGGUAGUGCUACGAGUUCGUAUUGAGGUAAAUUUCCAAGUCGUCCAUUGACAUUGUUCUCGCAUUCGCGAUCUUCCUGUUUAGGUCGAUGCCUCGCAUGUCCAAAAGAAAGAAUUGUAAUUUGUAGAUCACAAAAGAGAUUGCACGAGUUUCAGUGCUAGCUAGCUGUAGAUUGGAUUUUGUGUGUGAAGAAAAAUAAUCAUGUCAGGGACAGUGCAAGUGGUAACAGUGACCGAGGAGGUGAGGCCGCCAGCGAGCUUCACUUGCCGCAUCGUGUUCGCCAUCGUUGGUUCUUUUGUGGGUUAUUCAGUGGCUGUCUGCCUGGGUGUAGCGUUCAAGAACCCAACUACUGGAGCUUUCGCUGGCCUAUCUGGUAUCCUGGCAACCAUAUGUUUGAUACUGCAUUGGAAAGCGUCCAACACGGUGCACGGCCGGCCUCGCAGAUUGGAGCAUCCGGGCCGACUUGUAGUGCUUUCUGUAGUCGGUGCAACGUUUGUUAUUAUCGGAAUCGGUACUUUCAUCACAUUCAUAGCAGUGGCAGCUUACCAGAAGCAAGGGCUCCAUCCCGAUCACGACGGCUAUUACCUGACAUCCAUCUGGUGCGCCAUGACAACCAAGUGGGCUGCUCUGCUUCUUUUCUACUCGCGUCAGUACAAGAGGAUUUUCUUUGCUGGAUAUCGGCCAGAGAACGAGAGUCUCAUCAAUCACUGAGCAAUGGCGAUAGGACUGCAGCACUGCAGUCCAGCAAACUUGUGGUGAGAGCGCUGGCAGGGCAAUGCAGUGAAGUGUCCACCUGGGCAGAUAACGUGUGAAUGUAUGCCGCCCGCCGUCCAGGCUCGCGCUGUUCAGGGAUUAACAGCCGGCCCAUCUCUCUCUCCUGUGAUCUUGUCUCGAUGUCUUGCGUGCCGGCAUGUCACUGGCCUAUAGUGAUGUCCCACUGCCGGCGGCCAAGAGUACUCCCAGAGCGGUAUGGCAUGUUUAUUUAUAACUUAUAAGUACACCGCUCCAAUCCGGACCGGACCACGGUCCCUCCCUGUAUGCAGUAGGACCACAGCCUGGCGUGUGACAUAACUCAUGCGACAAGCUAGUCCCAGCACAAAAAGGACUAUCAUGAAAAGCGCCGGUAAAGCCAUGCUGCUGGUUUCGGCCAAGGCAAAACGGUUUUCUUCGGAUCUGCGAGGAGCUGCAUCAGCUCGUGGCAGCGUGCACGACGAAACCAAUCAAGCUCUUCCCAGCUCCUUUCUUUUCUACUUCAAAUAGUUUACGUACCAGAUCCAGCUAGUCUUCUCUCAAUGCAUUCCUGUUAGAUUUCCCAAGGAUGCUACUUAGCAGUUUUAAAAAUAGUACUAACCAUUCAUGCCGUAGUGUAGUUAGUAUACCUGCUCUACGUACUCUUAGGUUUUUACUCAAACCGUAACAGGUGCUACGAGUUACAUUGUACUCGUGUCAUUAACCUCUUAGUUUUUUACUCGAGCCGUAACAGGUGCUACGAGCUACUCGUGUCAUUAACCUCUUAGUUUUUUACUCGAACCGUAACAGGUGCUACGAGCUACUCGUGUCAUUAACCUCUUAGUUUUUUUUUAAUUAAAUUAACCGCUUCCUGAAGAAUUUGAAUUUUCAUUCUCUCAGUUUGCAUACAGCCAUUUCCGGGUCAAUCUUAUCAGCUGCCCUAUAUGUGGCCCAGUUCA